CCUGUCCCACCAUUUAGAGUUAUUUUUUGGCAUAAAAUUCAGAAUGAAGUAAUAUUUUUUGUAACAUGUUUUUCAGUUUAAACAUUUGAAUAAAAGUCUGUGUGUCUUAAUUAUAGUUUCAUAAACACCCCAAAGCUAUUGCAACAAGGAAAUAUGAUGGACAAGAUUGUUCUCAUGACGACGUACAAGAACAUUAAACAUGAAAACAUUGUAAUUCCUCUUAUUGUAAUUAUUUUAUACUACAUUUGAAUAUAGGCAUUUUAUUUUUCUGUUGUCAUCACAAUGUAAAGUGUAAUUACUAAAGUUAAAGGGAGCAAUUCAUACAUGUAAGGCUCAGUUCUCCAUCGAUGCUAAAGGUGUGAGAGGUGACACAAUAUCAGCUAAAUUCCAUUAUGGUCCUUUGAUUUAAGUGAAUGAAUGAGUAUUUCCUUACAGCAGAUUACUGUUUAUUUAAAUUAAAGGGGACAGAUAAUGCUCAUCUUCAGCUCUGUAUCUGUAUUCUGGCAUUAAGCUUUUUUCUCAUACUCUCUCAUAUUGGCCUUUUAACUCUCUGUGGUAUAAACCUUUUUUUUUUUUUUUAAGUUUAUUGCUUCUCUAAGUCUCAAAAUCAUUUUCUUCAUUUUUUUCCUUUUGGCUAUUAGAAUAUGCGUCCUGUAGUGAUGUCACAUUAAUGUCUACAAUGUUAUGAACAUAAGUUCAUUCAAAUCCCGCUGAGAAAACUAUUGAAAAAGAUCUGAAAAUUGUUCUCUGGUAUUUUGGCAAUCAGGGGGUAAAAAUGAUGAUUCAGUCAUGAUUCAUCUCUGGCAAUCUUCUGCGGAUACGUCUAAAAAUCCAGCACUUCUUGUGUCCAAGAAGAACAUCUGAUCAUUAUGGUCGGUGACUGUAAUUCCUGAGUUCCUUUCAAGUGACCACGCGAAGCAUUUUGUACCAACAUAAUGUGAAAAUGAGAUCCACAGUUUGAUUCCACUGGAUGUUGUUUUACCAUUUAAAGUCUACCAAGAAAAAAAAAAAAAUGCAGAUUUGUUUCAAAGACGUCUGUGACCUCAGGUGUUUGCAGCCCUCUUUCCUUAAGACCCACUUUCUUGUGGUUUGCAGGCUUUGCAGAUGGUAACAAAGUAAAGUCUAUAUUCAUUCUGAAGACUGUAUGGACUUGUGGCCAAAGACUUUGUGGACACACAAACGGAAAGAAGCACUGGAAACCAAGUAAUCAGUUAGACUGUGUAUCAUCAUCAUCAUCAUCAUCAUCAUAAUAAUAAUUUAGCCAC
ensembl:lncRNA